AGGAAACACGUGAGAGAGAGAGAGAGAGGAAGAAGGAAGGAGAAAGAGAGGGAGUUAGGCUCGGAUCUAGGAGUCUUUGUGACCGUUGCGAGCUCGGCUACACGAUAGAAAAUUGUUGGUGGAACUUAUUGAGAAGUAAGGAACAAGCCGAGCCCUAUUUUGUACAAGGGGAACCCUUUUAGUACCAAAGGGUUGAGGUCCAGGCGAAGGAUCCAGUGGUGGACGGGGAAAAGAGCAAAGCUAGGGUUUGCUUGUGAUUUGUAAAGAACUGCAACCCCUUUCUUUUGAGCAAAUAUAUUGUAAUGUAUUUAAGAUUAGGGUGCCAGUAGGAUAUGAUUAUGUGUGUGUGUGUGAAUAUGUGUGGAUUGUGUGCUUGUGUAUGAAUUUUUGUCUGUUUGCAGA